rnacentral:rRNA from 1 species
GACGAACGCUGGCGGCGUGCCUAAUACAUGCAAGUCGAACGCAGGAAACUGACGGAACUCUUCGGAGGGAAGGCAGUGGAAUGAGCGGCGGACGGGUGAGUAACACGUAAGGAACCUGCCUCAAGGAUUGGGAUAACUCCGAGAAAUCGGAGCUAAUACCGGAUAGUUCAUCGGACCGCAUGGCCCGUUGAUGAAAGGCGCUUCGGCGUCACCUUGAGAUGGCCUUGCGGUGCAUUAGCUAGUUGGUGGGGUAACGGCCCACCAAGGCGACGAUGCAUAGCCGACCUGAGAGGGUGAUCGGCCACACUGGGACUGAGACACGGCCCAGACUCCUACGGGAGGCAGCAGUAGGGAAUCUUCCACAAUGGACGAAAGUCUGAUGGAGCAACGCCGCGUGAGUGAUGAAGGUUUUCGGAUCGUAAAACUCUGUUGUAAGGGAAGAACACGUACGAGAGGGAAUGCUCGUACCUUGACGGUACCUUACGAGAAAGCCACGGCUAACUACGUGCCAGCAGCCGCGGUAAUAC